UCGCGGUCUAAGGUCCCUGGGGGCCGCUAAGUGGUCGGUGAUUUGGAAGUGUUUCCUUCUUAAAAAUCGGAUUUGGCUUGUGUGUCCGGUAUUUAGAUUCGGCCUUAUUCACCUCUGCAUAUUCCGCCAGUGGCGAGCGUUGCUCAUCCGACUCCCCCGACCCCCACCCCACUGUAUGGGGCAGCAUUUCAUACUCUAAGGAAAACAAGAGAACGAAAGCACCAGAAUUGCUACGGGGUCCAAGCUGAUUGGAAGCGAUCUACCUCUGGCUGCCACACUGGAAAAACAACAGUAAUUAUGGCUGGAGUGGACUGCCAGACGCCCAAAUUAUACU